rnacentral:tRNA from 1 species
GCGGGCGUGGCGAAAUUGGCAGACGCGCCAGGUUUAGGUCCUGGUCCCGCGAGGGAUGGAGGUUCGAGUCCUCUCGCCCGCA